rnacentral:lncRNA from 1 species
CUAUAAAGGGGGCUACUUGCCUCCUCCUCUCCCUCUUAUUUCUCUCUUGCUCUCUCUUGUUCCUCCUCUUCUCGUGCCCCUCUUUGUCCCUGUCCCUUCUUUUCCCAUCUCCCCCUUUCCUCCCACGUGCCCAUGGCCAGCCUUUCCUUCUUCUACUACUCUUCUUCUCUCACUAAACCUUUCCACGUGGAACCAUGUUGGCUUGGUGUACCUUGUCUGGGCGCUGGCUGAGAUUUUAAAUACCAACAAUAUGCAGGCUCAGGUCAGCAGGUGUAGAAGUUGUGACUCCAAAAGGAGACACUCAAGAAUCUGAAACAUGUGAUAUCAUCAACAAAGACACCUUCAGCUCAGAGUUCCCAGAAAACACGCCUUGGAAUACGCAAGCCAUCGCAAGUUCGUAUGUUUGUGAUGAACAACUACUGGAAAGGUCCUCCCCUCAAAAAGUUUUGUAAAUCACACAUUCAGCAAGAUCCAACCAAUUUACAAGCUCAACACACACCUUCAACCAUCAGAAGGGCAACUCAGCAUCACCGUGUCACAGUGGACUCCGAGGGACCCUACACCUUAUGAAUGGGCAUUGUCCUCAAGAAGGUGAUGGAAAAUACCAGUGUACUUCAAGUAAUUUCAUACCCAGGAGGCUGCUCUGGCGAGAUGGUUUGGAGCAGUGGAUCCCAGCCUUCCCUAAGGCUGUGACCCUUUAAGGCCUCAUGUUGUGGUGAGCCCUGUAAAAGGAUCAUUCAACUCCCCAGGGUGAGAAUGGCCAAUUCAGAGCCUUUCAUCUUUAACCUCCAGCUCCUUAGAUUGUUCAUGUUUUAAGCCUGAUCAAAAGCAGCCUUUAUGUUUUCCUCCACAUCCCUGGUUAAAUUUUUCUGUUUAAGUCCAAGAGCAAAAAACUCUGCCAUACCUGGAGAGAUCCCCUCCUGGGGUGAUAAACACUUGACUUACGACUUUGUGGGCCAUCCAGAUGCUGAGACAUCAUGCGUCCCAUGGAUGUCGCAUGCACCCACGUCUUCUUCAGAAUGUUAAGCUUCAACCCGAACAACACAAUAAUAAAGACUGUCAGGAGUUCCUCAGUACAGUUAAGACACAUCUUUGGAAAGGAGAAAAAGAAGAACUGCACAGAGAUGUCACUGAUUAAGAAAGAAAAAAAGGUACAGGAAGAACCAGGCGGAGCGACAACAGAAACUGAAGAAGUCACAGGCUUCAGUGGUGGUUUGCACCACCAUAUAUCAUAUGUGAGUCAGGAGAAUGCAGGCAUCUCAUGCCCUAGGAAUUUCCCAUAUUUCUAGGAAAAUACAUCUUCUCCCUCUGCUGGGAACGUGGGGUUCAUCCAGUAGGAAGUGUAAAAGGAGCUCACUGUAAAGCAUAUGGUACAAAGCUACAGGUGGAGAUGAAGAGAUGGCUCAGUGGUCAGAGCGAGUUCAGUCUCCAGCACCUGCUUGGGGCUCACAACUGUCCACUACUCCAGCCCAGAAGAUCCAAUACCCUCCUCUGGCUCCAGCAGGUACUCAGUGCACUCAUAUGGUGCACAUAUAUGCGUUCAGACAUAACACAUAAAAUAAAUUUUAUUUAAAGAAAAAUGCCACAGGCAUGACUGUUGGUGGAUAGUGCCUGUUUGGGUCAUGAAAAGUGAAGUUUCUGUAGGCUUCAGGUUGAGAUCUAGUCUUCUUCUGUGCAAAGUUUCAGGACUGGUUCUUGCUCGGAGUAUUGGAGCUCUCAGGAUGCUUGUGACUUCAGUGACAAUGCCAAUGGAAACUCUAGAGAUGGGCCACGCCCCAGCUAGGGAGAAGGAUCCGCUAAGGAGAAUCUCAAACUGCAAGCAGGGCUGAACCGCACCCCAUACUCUCAUCCCAGGAGUUAGAGGACAUUGAGCUAAGUUCAGGACUAGGAAUUCGUGGUGGGAAUGGGGAGGUAGCAAUCCACAGUGCGGUGAAACACUGAGUCUGCUCCAGAUCUGACUGAUGAUGAUGGAUCCUAUCUAGGUGCUGCUUAAAUGCUUUUCUUUGUUCCACAGUCGAGUCUGGAAACUGUACAGAUGACCAAGGGUCCAGGCAGACAGAGGAUCAAGUCCAGUACCCUGCUGUCUCCCUUAGAGAGGACCCCCUAAAGCCCCGUGGGCUCAGGAAGGGCACACAGGCCCAGGAGAUGAAUCAGUAGGUAAAGUGCUUGUUGCACAAGCAUUUGCCUCUGACUGCAGAUCUCCAGCACCUACAUAGAGGACUGGGACGGCACAGCGUACAACUGGAUCCCAGCCCAGGGCGGGGAUGAGGAGCAAUAGGGUGGUCUGAACAUUUGCCAUCCCGCAGGAUUUGUCUAUCCCCGAGCUCCACGUCCAGCAAGAGACUCUGUCUCAAAUAAAUAAAAUGUGAAGUCUUUGUCUUGCUCACACACAAAACAGGCACACACACACACACACACACACACACACACACACACACACAGGUGCACACACAUGCAUACGCCACACAAGAAAAAAAGAAAGCAGAGAUUAGGCAGGAGGGCUUUUCACACCUGCACUUGCAGCACUUGGAAGGUAGGACCUGGGGCUGAGGGAUGUAGGGUCACCCUCAGCCCCACACAUGGUCUGAGUUCAUCGUAGGCUAUGUGAGACCCUGUCUUGAAAACAUCCCACAAAAACAAACAGAAAGCCACUGCUGGUUAGAAAACCAAGAACCCAUGGCCACGAAUGAUAGCACACGAGACUGAAAAGUAAGUGUAAUAACAGUAAAAAGAAAUUGUGGAAAAAUAGAAAAAGCAACUAUUAUAUAAAUCUUAAAGGAGGGAAGCUGGAGGUGGGGGAAGAAGGUAAACAAGAAAGAAAAAUUUUCAGAACAGCUUUGAGUAAUAGAACAAUAGAGCAACUGCUUAAGUCUGACAAAAUGAACCAAACGGUUAACAUAGCAAACACAGUACAGCAUAGGGGGCUGGCUAGUGUUUGCCUAGCUCUGGCCUCCGUACACACCCACACACAUACAAAGAUGCUCAGACAAACUCACGUAUGCACCCACACAAGCGUGUAUAUACACCACAUUCCGAAAAGUAAAAGAGAAAGUAGAAAUCUCAAUAAAAGCUUAUGUUGACUCCGUGUUGGAAUAUUAAAUGGAUUUAAAUUGGAUAAACUAAUUUGACAUACUUCCAGAGAUUAUUUUUAUGUGACUCCAUGAAGUUUUUGAUUGCAUACAGAGCUCGAAUAUUUCAGUUAGACAAUGAUCUAUGUAGCUCCUUAAGGAAAGCUGAAGCACC